CCUACGGGAGGCAGCAGUGGGGAAUAUUGCACAAUGGGGGAAACCCUGAUGCAGCGACGCCGCGUGAGUGAAGAAGGAUCUCGGUACGUAAAGCUCUAGCAGCAGGGAAGAGAAUGACGGUACCUGACCAAGAAGCCCCGGCUAACUACGUGCCAGCAGCCGCGGUAAUACGUAGGGGGCAAGCGUUAUCCGGAUUUACUGGGUGUCAAGGGAGCGUAGACGGCAGCCCACGUCUGGAGUGAAAUCCCGGGGCUUAACCCCGGAACUGCUUUGGAAACUGUGCGGCUGGAGUGCAGGAGGGGUCAGCGUCAUUCCUCGUGUAGCGGUGAUAUGCUUAGAUAUUAGGAGGCACACCGGUGGC
rnacentral:rRNA from 1 species